GCUGGUGGUACCUGCCUAUUUGAGUCCUUCUAAAGCUUUGCCUUACAAAAACUUCAGGAUUUUAGGAGAAAGCUAUUCUGUUUCCAUCAAAAGGCCUAUUCUUUCAAAAAGCCUUGUUGAGAGAAAACAGCCUCCCUGGAUACUGUGAGAAGCACUGUGAAUAGUGAUGUGGUGGUGUCAAAACCCCCACAGGCCCUACCUAAAUACCUACACUUCUCCAUGCAGCAGCCCCCAACGCCAGCUUUCUUAUAUUCCUUCUUAUAUGUAGGAAUAGGGGAGCUACAGAUACAGCUGCAACAGGAAGUACUGUUUUCCUUACAAUAGGAUGGAUGAAUUGCUCAGUGAGCCUUGACUGCUAAUUGAAUAGCCAUGUUACAGACUCAUCAGAAACCCCUGAGUUGGGUUAAAUGAUGCCAAGGUGUCUGCUGUGAAGGUCUCCUCCAAGCUGCCCUCACUUCCAGGAGAAUAGAAAGGAGCCUGAUUUCUAGCAGCUGAUGUCCAUCAGUAUGAGGAGGAGCUGGGGGAAAGAGGAAUUCAUUUCUAGAGCCUCACUUGAGGCUCUAGAAGAGGCAAUGCUGCGUAUCUGGAAAGCACCUGCUUAGCCCAGCAGUAAUUGCACUUGGACUGUGAGCUGUGCCUACACCCCAUCAGUGCAGUAAGCAGUUUUCCUAUGGGUUUUCUAUGAACACUUGAAGCUUUAAAUAAUACUUUAUAAUAAUGUCAAUAACACUUAAAACUUUCCUGUUUCUACCAUCAUCUUCUCCUCUCUUAUACAAGACGAGAACUGCCACCGUGGCUGGCCCAGACCUGUGUUAAACUGGGUUAGAGCAGCAGCUGGCAGAAGAGCAAAGGGGUGUGUUCCCCAUUUCUGUGGAGAUGAAUGCCUGCAGCCUGGGCACUUUUGGCUUAGAGAGGGAAUAAAACAGCUGCACGAGGCAGAUUGUGGAGAUUGUUGCUGUUUUGUGAAGCUGUCAGUUGGCAGGAGGGUGGAGGACCACAAAACGAAGAGUGGAGUCCACUGGUGGAAGAAGCUACUGCAGCUUUAACAAGAGGAGUUAAAAUUGAAUGAUUCUUUCUUGAAACCAGCCAUUAGUAAACCGAAGUGGAAAGCUUCCCCCUGGUUUUGGCUUUUCAGAUGGGAGAUUGAAAGAACACUUCAAAUUCCUGCAGUGCAAACCUGCAUGAAGCUCUGAGUCCCUGAGACAAGGAGCAGCAUGUGUUCCCUGCUGCAUGGCAAAGAAAGGAGCCAUAAACGUGGGAUCUUGCCAAGAAUAUUGGAGAACAUCCCCAGAAAAGAGUGGAGAAUUUGUGCUCUGGUCAAUGAACCGAGUAAGCACUAUGCAUGUCUAGACCCAUUGUGUGAGUUCAUGGGACAGGCCAAAGAUGAAAGCCUGUACGUUGGGAGCAGGGAGGAGGCUUGCUGGAGAGAAAUCUCAGCACCGAAUUGUCCUGGAACUCAGAGUCAUCUGGCAGGUUUUGUCACAAGGUGUGUCACACAGGAGACGUUAAGCU
ensembl:lncRNA